rnacentral:rRNA from 1 species
UACGAAGGGGGCUAGCAUUACUCGGAAUUACUGGGCGUAAAGCGUGCGUAGGCUGCUUAGUAAGUUGGAAGUGAAAUCCUGGAGCUCAACUCCAGAAUUGCUUUCAAAACUGCUUGGCUAGAGUUCUAGAGAGGAUAGCGGAAUUCCUAGUGUAGAGGUGAAAUUCGUAGAUAUUAGGAGGAACACCGGAAGCGAAAGCGGCUAUCUGGCUAGAUACUGACGCUGUUGCACGAAAGCGUGGGGAUCAAACAGG